GAUACUGUUCUUAGCCCAGUGGCGUGGGACAGGGACAGAGGCGUGGGGAGGGGUUGUGGUUUCCGGCCCCUGUGACAGGGGAGGGAGGGAUACAUUUACAUCCUGAGUUGUUAAAGGAACCGUGGAUAAAGCUGCAAAAGGGGAAGUCUGCCCAGAGCCGGCUCUCGCUUGCUGUCUCUGCUAGAGCCAGUGAAACUACGUAAACCUGAGGCUCCGCACCAGGGCUGGAUUUAGGGGCAGGUGACCACCUGGGAUGCUGGGCUUGGGGGGCACCAGGCUCGGGGUCCUGGUUUUGUUGUUAGCAACAAAAGGGAAAAUCGAAUGUUUGGAGUAAAAUGUUUCAGAAGAAACAUUCCCAAGGGAGGUUUUCUAUCACUCGUGGUCCCUGCUCAAGCGUCUAUCGAAGAAAGGUUCGGACCAAUGAAGCACCACGAAAAGACCUGGGGGGUUCAUACAACUUUAGUAAGCGGCCAGCGGACAGGAAAACACUGCUGAGCCAUUGCACAGAUCUUCACCGGGCGCUGACGCAUGGGGACUGUUCGGACAUCAGCGGUAAUGAUCUCUCUGUCAAAUUGGACAACAUCCGUCCCGUUUGGCCACCCGGGACGCGCCCUCCACUCCAAGUUCUCCAACACAGGCGUGAUGCAGAGCUGCAGGUCACGUUUCCUAAUAUGUGGGCGGCUCUGAGGGUUCUGCUCACACUGCUGCUCACAGUCGUGUGCGGUGAGCGGAGCUUUUCGAAGCACGGGCUCAUUAAAACAGAUCUGUGAUCGCCGAUGGCCAAUGAGAGACGGACGUCGCUGGCUAUUUUAUCGCUUGAAAAUGCCAUUGGCCAGUCUUUGGCUCCCUCUCAGAUGCUGUACUUCAGUUGGCGCAGGCGAAGAUGUGGCCUUCAGGGGAACCCCCUACACACCAGCAGAGGCCUCCGCCAGAUAAGGAAGCGACCUAGAUGGAGUAAGGAGGACAUGUUCUGUGAGGUGCUUCAAUCCUCAGGAGGCAGAAAAAAGAGAACACAGGGAGUGGAGAGAAGUGGAAAGGUGGGACAGAAAGGAGAGUGAGGAGAGCUUUCAGAAGGCCCAUGAGCAGAUGAUAAAAGUCAUGGAGGAGCAAACAGAAAUGCUGAAGUCUCUCAUCACACUGCAGUUAGAACAGAUGUGUGCUUGCCCCCCUCUGCAGCUGUUACAGAACUAUUUUCCAUGCCCUCCCCAAACUUCUUCCACACAUUCCUUCAAACUUUACGGAACAUCUUGGUAUCCUAUUCACUCCACCCCUUCGGACAGCUUCCAAAAUGAUAGUGGACUUACACAGAGCUAUGACAGCCUCCACUGCCCUGCACUACUGCCACAUUUCCCACCAAACCUUUUUUGUGUGUUAA